rnacentral:rRNA from 1 species
UACGUAGGGUGCAAGCGUUAAUCGGAAUUACUGGGCGUAAAGCGUGCGCAGGCGGUUUGGUAAGUCAGAUGUGAAAUCCCCGGGCUUAACCUGGGAAUUGCAUUUGUGACUGCCCGGCUAGAGUGUGGCAGAGGGGGGUAGAAUUCCACGUGUAGCAGUGAAAUGCGUAGAUAUGUGGAGGAAUACCGAUGGCGAAGGCAGCCCCCUGGGAUGACACUGACGCUGAUGCACGAAAGCGUGGGGAGCAAACAGG